rnacentral:rRNA from 1 species
UACGUAGGGGGCAAGCGUUGUUCGGAAUUACUGGGCGUAAAGGGCGCGUAGGCGGCACGACAAGUCGGGAGUGAAAGCCCGGGGCUCAACCCCGGAAUGUCUCUCGAAACUGUCGAGCUAGAGUGCGGAAGAGGCAACUGGAAUUCCCAGUGUAGCGGUGAAAUGCGUAGAUAUUGGGAAGAACACCUGAGGCGAAGGCGGGUUGCUGGGCCGACACUGACGCUGAGGUGCGAAAGCCAGGGGAGCGAACGGG